GCCAGGCACAGUGGUGCACACCUGUGGUCCCAGCUUCUCAGGAGGCUGAGGCAGGAGGAUCGCUGGAGCCCAGGAGUUGAACCCUGCUUGGGCAACAUAGCAAGACUACCAUCUC
rnacentral:sRNA from 1 species